ACGAACGCUGGCGGCGUGCCUAAUACAUGCAAGUUGAGCGAUGAAGAUUGGUGCUUGCACCAAUUUGAAGAGCAGCGAACGGGUGAGUAACGCGUGGGGAAUCUGCCUUUGAGCGGGGGACAACAUUUGGAAACGAAUGCUAAUACCGCAUAACAACUUUAAACAUAAGUUUUAAGUUUGAAAGAUGCAAUUGCAUCACUCAAAGAUGAUCCCGCGUUGUAUUAGCUAGUUGGUGAGGUAAAGGCUCACCAAGGCGAUGAUACAUAGCCGACCUGAGAGGGUGAUCGGCCACAUUGGGACUGAGACACGGCCCAAACUCCUACGGGAGGCAGCAGUAGGGAAUCUUCGGCAAUGGACGAAAGUCUGACCGAGCAACGCCGCGUGAGUGAAGAAGGUUGUCGGAUCGUAAAACUCUGUUGGUAGAGAAGAACGUUGGUGAGAGUGGAAAGCUCAUCAAGUGACGGUAACUACCCAGAAAGGGACGGCUAACUACGUG
rnacentral:rRNA from 1 species